GCAAAUGGUACAGCUGGUGUGGAAAAGAGGAGCUGAAGCAUCUUGCCAGACAUGUAGAACAAAAAAAUCUUCCUAAUAUUAUCUGGGUAGAAAUUGGGAAAUUUCCCACUCCUUCUCACAUGGUCUGUGGGUCCCAAGUGGGUUGAGCAGGGAGACAGCCUUGCAAUGGGAUGCUUAGAGGACUCUGCUUCCUCCAGGACUUCGGAGGGAUUAUAAGGUCAUCCCUGCCAUGAGCCCAGCACAUAUCCUUGCCUUUGCCUGCCUUCCCUUUCCCUCCUCCCAGUGUCUUGCAGCUCCCCACCAGAGGUGACCAAUGCCCGUAUGUUCGGCAAACCAAAGCAACGCUACGAGAUCAGCUCCAUCGUGCGGUACCGGUGCCUGGAGGGCUUCACCCAGCGCCACUCACCCAUUAUCCGGUGCCAGGAGGAGGGGAUGUGGGAGCAUCCCCAGCUUGCUUGCCUGCCAAGUGUGACUCAAACCCCUGAGGACUGAGCCUGGAUGCAGGAGGGAAGACCUCACUUCCCAGGGCAUUGUCACUGGGGCUGGUUGCAAACCACGCGGGGAAAGCUUCAGCCCCGCAGCCUGGGCACCAGCCCACACCGCAGCGAUGCCUUCCACCCCCUGUGCGUUUGGUUGAUAUCUGUAUAAAGAAAAAAGUCUAGUAACUAAAGAUUCCCUUUUAAAAAAAAAAAAGAAAAAAAAAUCAACAGCAACAUAAAACGUAGCUUUUCACUUUGCGCAAAGAGUAUUGUGCCUCCCAAACUGUAACGGCUGCUGGAGACGAGGAUGGUGCAACCUCUGACCCCUGAACAGAGCUGUGUGAUGGUGUAUGGAGUCAAUCUCGCCAGCCAGCGGACGUAUGCACUUCAUACCUUGGCAGUCAGCUCCUUGACGCUUUGGUUGGUUGGAAUUGAUUUGGCUCUGUAGAAAAAUAGAUCACACUUCCCAUAUAAAUAUGGGCCCAGUUUAGAAAUAAGCCAAGGGAAGGGGUAUUCCCAACCCUCCCCAUCCCCCAGUGCUGGAGGUGCAAAGCAGGGACAGUGCUAGACACUGAGGUCAGCUCUUCACCAGCUGGAGAGGCUCAGCAUGUCUUUCCCAUGCCUGAUUAGACCCCUUUACACUUCCAGACCAUCCUAGAGGGCCCCAAGCUUCAUUAAAAUCCACUUCCCUGGUGGAAAGGUAGGGAAAGCAUAUGCCUGGGAUAGCGAAGCCAGCCAAACCCCUGGGGCCCAUGCAGCCAGCAGCAGGGGAUGGACUAGAUGGCUUCUCAAGGCCCCUUCCAGCCCUGUUUUCUCAGGGUUGGCAUAGCUCAUGCCAGCCAGAGGCUUAGAAAGCUCUGUCGCUCAGCUUCUACCAGCGCAGGCCACAUCUCUGCUAGACAGCUUCCCCAAUAGAUGCUCGAUAGGACAGACUCACCUACCCCAUUGCUCUCUGAGUAGGGGUAGGUAGGUCAAGAGAUGGUCCAGGGCCAGCCCAGAUGAGGCACAUCAGUUCCAGUAGCCAACAGCCCAGGAGUCAAGGGCAUGGCUAGCAUCUGGUCCAGAUGAUGGGGACCGCCCGCUCCAUCACGUCCAAAAAACCCCAUAUUCCUCCACCCCUUGUUCAAAGUGAAUGACUUUUUUUUUUACGCUGUUGCUGAUAUUAAAAUAAAUAAACUGAUGGAGAAGACCGUGGUUUGCUU
rnacentral:lncRNA from 1 species